rnacentral:lncRNA from 1 species
CCAUGGCGUACUGACAGACUACAUAAAUGUAGGACUCACCUGCGGGUGUUGUAAUCCUACUUGACUGCACCUAGUACUUAUGCUCUGAAUUUGUGUGUUUUACACUUAAACUCAUUCUAGCAUGUUAGUUGGAUAUUAUUGCUAGUAGUUGGUUUUUAUUCCUUCGUAAUUCUCAUAUCUUUUGCUUCCGCAUCGCACUUUUGGUUACAUCACGCUCACGUGUCGGCCAGCACGCCUUGAUUCUAGGAUCGAGGUGUGUCACGUAUGCAUGAGGAUGUGGACAUUAUAAAUUUAAUAUCGUAGCCAAAUACACAAAUAUAAAAAUUGAAUAACGUAAAGUAUUAAAUUUAGUAGGUAUUGAACAUUGAUUAUUAAUCCGUAGUAUCACCACUAUAGUAUUACAACAUAAUGUUAUUUCUUUUUACAUGUAAAUGUGAGAUAUUAGGGUCAAAUUUCACAAAUAAGGAGUUUGAUAUCAAAUUAUUGUUAGCUCAAUCUGAUGCUUAUCUGAAUCACCAUCUCUAUAAAAAUAAAAAAUAAAAAAUAAUGAAAACGUCAAUGUGAACAUUAUUACCACGUGUGAAUCUGAAAAUUCCCUAAGUAGAGAUAAAUUAGAAAUCUUUUAGGGUCUAGGAAGAUAUUUCAUAUUAUACUUGUCUUACUUGGAGAGCAAGUUAUUCUCUCCCCCUUAUUAUUAUAAAUAAAGGCACAAAGCAUGAAGAAUAACACACAGAAAUCCUCAAGCCAUUAUCCACAUUCUCUUUGCCACACCUUUACUUUCCCUCUCUAAAUUUUGACUACAACACUUUAUUAGCACGCUCUUGAACUAUAGUAAAGAGAAUUUGUACAUUGUCAAUCAGGAGAAUAUUACGUUUCAAUCGUUAUUAUUAUAAUUAAAUGCUUUACUUUAUUGAAUGAAUAUACUUGCUAUUGAUUCAAUUUAUUUUUUAUGUCGAAUGUGAUACAAAACUUUCAAGAUGGAAACCUGACAUUGGAGGAAGAACUCUUACAAACCCGUUCACAAAAUUGAUCAUUACAAUAUAGGUAGGUUCUUCUAUAACAUGGUCUUAAUUUUCGAAUAUUUUUUAGCUUGAUUGCAUCAAAACAUUCACCAUGAUGCAUGAACUCAACUUUUAUGCGUUUCGAAUUAUAAAUUCUUCUUAAAUUUGUUUGCAUUAUUUUAUACAUGUAUUUUAUUGUGAUGGAUUGAAUACGUGUGAAUAAAUAAAGAAAAAGGAAGAAAAAAAACUCUCAUUGGAGCCAUGGUUGGAAGCCGUGGGCUCGUACCAAGCCGAGUUGAGCUAAUGCGCAACAGCCACAAUCCUGCAGCUUGCUGGGCUACCCCCAAGGAUUUAAAUAUCGCCGAUAUUUUCUCUUUUUUGAGUUACCGAUAUUUUAAUGAGUAUCCAAUGAGUUUUCUUCAAAAUAUCGCAAUAUUAUCGAUAAUAUCGCGAUAUUAUCGCGAUAUGACAUCCAAAAAUUCUUAAAAUUUUCUGAAAAGUCUCAAUUUUGAGACCAAAGGGAUUCGAACCCCCUCCCAUUUGACUCCUUAACGCCUUAACCACCAUAUCACUUAUGUUGUUGUGAUAAUAUGCUACUAUAUUUAUAUAUAUUGUUUUGUUUUGAAUUCUUUUUACAAGAAACAAAUUUGCACAUAUUCCA